GCCGGAAUAGCUCAGUUGGGAUAGCGUUAGACUGAAGUUGUUUACGCAACAAUCAUCUUAAUGCGCCCGGUUAAAUCCCGGGUUCCGGCA
rnacentral:tRNA from 1 species